rnacentral:rRNA from 1 species
GGGAAUAUUGCACAAUGGGCGCAAGCCUGAUGCAGCAACGCCGCGUGAGGGACGAAGGCCUUCGGGUUGUAAACCUCUUUUAGCAGGGAAGAAGCGAGAGUGACGGUACCUGCAGAAAAAGUACCGGCUAACUACGUGCCAGCAGCCGCGGUAAUACGUAGGGUGCAAGCGUUGUCCGGAAUUAUUGUGCGUAAAGAGCUCGUAGGCGGUUUGUCACGUCUGCUGUGAAAGCCCGAGGCUCAACCUCGGGCUUGCAGUGGGUACGGGCAGACUAGAGUGCGGUAGGGGAGAUUGGAAUUCCUGGUGUAGCGGUGGAAUGCGCAGAUAUCAGGAGGAACACCGAUGGCGAAGGCAGAUCUCUGGGCCGUAACUGACGCUGAGGAGCGAAAGCAUGGGGAGCAAACAGGC